GCAAGUCGAACGGUAACAUAGCUAGCUUGCUAGCUGAUGACGAGUGGCGGACGGGUGAGUAACGCGUAGGAAUCUACCUAUUAGUGGGGGACAACAUGGUGAAAACCAUGCUAAUACCGCAUACGCCCUACGGGGGAAAGCGGGGGAUCUUCGGACCUCGCGCUAAUAGAUGAGCCUGCGUUAGAUUAGCUAGUUGGUGGGGUAAUGGCUCACCAAGGCGACGAUGUCUAGGGGUUCUGAGAGGAUGAUC
rnacentral:rRNA from 1 species